rnacentral:tRNA from 1 species
GUUUUAGUAGUUUAUCAAAACGUUGGUCUUGUAAACCAAAAUAGAGUAGUUUACUCCUUAAACU